AUUUGAUGCCUGGCAGUUCCCUACUCUCGCAUGGGGAGACCCCACACUACCAUCGGCGCUACGGCGUUUCACUUCUGAGUUCGGCAUGGGGUCAGGUGGGACCACCGCGCUACUGCCGCCAGACAAAUUCUNNNNNNNNNNNNNNNNNNNNGAAUCAGUGCUGAAAAUCGUCUCUCAUCCGCCAAAACAUCUUCGGCGUUGUAAGGUUAAGCCUCACGGUUCAUUAGUACCGGUUAGCUCAACGCAUCGCUGCGCUUACACACCCGGCCUAUCAACGUCGUCGUCUUCAACGUUCCUUCAGGAGACCUAAAGUCUCAGGGAGAACUCAUCUCGGGGCAAGUUUCGUGCUUAGAUGCUUUCAGCACUUAUCUCUUCCGCAUUUAGCUACCGGGCAGUGCCAUUGGCAUGACAACCCGAACACCAGUGAUGCGUCCNNNNNNNNNNNNNNNNNNNNAGCCCCCCUCAGUUCUCCAGCGCCCACGGCAGAUAGGGACCGAACUGUCUCACGACGUUCUAAACCCAGCUCGCGUACCACUUUAAAUGGCGAACAGCCAUACCCUUGGGACCUACUUCAGCCCCAGGAUGUGAUGAGCCGACAUCGAGGUGCCAAACACCGCCGUCGAUAUGAACUCUUGGGCGGUAUCAGCCUGUUAUCCCCGGAGUACCUUUUAUCCGUUGAGCGAUGGCCCUUCCAUUCAGAACCACCGGAUCACUAUGACCUGCUUUCGCACCUGCUCGCGCCGUCACGCUCGCAGUCAAGCUGGCUUAUGCCAUUGCACUAACCUCCUGAUGUCCGACCAGGAUUAGCCAACCUUCGUGCUCCUCCGUUACUCUUUAGGAGGAGACCGCCCCAGUCAAACUACCCACCAGACACUGUCCGCAACCCGGGUAACGGGUCCACGUUAGAACAUCAAACAUUAAAGGGUGGUAUUUCAAGGUCGGCUCCAUGCAGACUGGCGUCCACACUUCAAAGCCUCCCACCUAUCCUACACAUCAAGGCUCAAUGUUCAGUGUCAAGCUAUAGUAAAGGUUCACGGGGUCUUUCCGUCUUGCCGCGGGUACACUGCAUCUUCACAGCGAGUUCAAUUUCACUGAGUCUCGGGUGGAGACAGCCUGGCCAUCAUUACGCCAUUCGUGCAGGUCGGAACUUACCCGACAAGGAAUUUCGCUACCUUAGGACCGUUAUAGUUACGGCCGCCGUUUACCGGGGCUUCGUUCAGGAGCUUCGCUUGCGCUGACCCCAUCAAUUAACCUUCCGGCACCGGGCAGGCGUCACACCGUAUACGUCCACUUUCGUGUUUGCACAGUGCUGUGUUUUUAAUAAACAGUUGCAGCCAGCUGGUAUCUUCGACUGACUUCAGCUCCAUGAGUAAAUCACUUCACCUACGUGUCAGCGUGCCUUCUCCCGAAGUUACGGCACCAUUUUGCCUAGUUCCUUCACCCGAGUUCUCUCAAGCGCCUUGGUAUUCUCUACCUGACCACCUGUGUCGGUUUGGGGUACGAUUUGAUGUUACCUGAUGCUUAGAGGCUUUUCCUGGAAGCAGGGCAUUUGUUGCUUCAGCACCGUAGUGCCUCGUCGUCACGCCUCAGUGUUAAAGUGAACCGGAUUUACCUGGAACACACACCUACACGCUUAAACCGGGACAACCGUCGCCCGGCCAACAUAGCCUUCUCCGUCCCCCCCUUCGCAGUAACACCAAGUACGGGAAUAUUAACCCGUUUCCCAUCGACUACGCCUUUCGGCCUCGCCUUAGGGGUCGACUCACCCUGCCCCGAUUAACGUUGGACAGGAACCCUUGGUCUUCCGGCGAGCGGGCUUUUCACCCGCUUUAUCGUUACUUAUGUCAGCAUUCGCNNNNNNNNNNNNNNNNNNNNCCCAACAACACCUGAGUGUCGCUGCCGCAGCUUCGGUGCAUGGUUUAGCCCCGUUACAUCUUCCGCGCAGGCCGACUCGACCAGUGAGCUAUUACGCUUUCUUUAAAUGAUGGCUGCUUCUAAGCCAACAUCCUGGCUGUCUGGGCCUUCCCACAUCGUUUCCCACUUAACCAUGACUUUGGGACCUUAGCUGGCGGUCUGGGUUGUUUCCCUCUUCACGACGGACGUUAGCACCCGCCGUGUGUCUCCCGUGAUAACAUUCUCCGGUAUUCGCAGUUUGCAUCGGGUUGGUAAGCCGGGAUGGCCCCCUAGCCGAAACAGUGCUCUACCCCCGGAGAUGAAUUCACGAGGCGCUACCUAAAUAGCUUUCGGGGAGAACCAGCUAUCUCCCGNNNNNNNNNNNNNNNNNNNNCCCCCAGCCACAGGUCAUCCGCUAAUUUUUCAACAUUAGUCGGUUCGGUCCUCCAGUUAGUGUUACCCAACCUUCAACCUGCCCAUGGCUAGAUCACCGGGNNNNNNNNNNNNNNNNNNNNCCCUGCAACUUAACGCCCGGUUAAGACUCGGUUUCCCUCCGGCUCCCCUAUACGGUUAACCUUGCUACAGAAUAUAAGUCGCUGACCCAUUAUACAAAAGGUACGCAGUCACACAGGUAAACCUGUGCUCCCACUGCUUGUACGUACACGGUUUCAGGUUCUUUUUCACUCCCCUCGCCGGGGUUCUUUUCGCCUUUCCCUCACGGUACUGGUUCACUAUCGGUCAGUCAGGAGUAUUUAGCCUUGGAGGAUGGUCCCCCCAUAUUCAGACAGGAUACCACGUGUCCCGCCCUACUCAUCGAGCUCACAGCACAU
rnacentral:rRNA from 1 species